AAACGCCUCAACGGGGAAAGUGACUUUUCUGUGGAGGAUACAUUUGGUGACUGCAAUGAUGGCAGCCUUGAGAGUCUCCAGGCUCGUAAAGUUGCAUUGUUGGUCUCAAAGUCAAUCGUCAGCCUGUCUUCUUUUGCAGGUGGAAAGAGGAUCCGGGUUUGCUCAGGAUUUGUGAUGCGCAGAAAAGACGAUACCGAUGCAAAUAUGGUUUUAACCUCAGCAACACUUGUUAGAUCUCUGAAUGGAGAUAACAAUGUGAUCUCUGACGUGACGGUCAAGGUGCUUCUACCUGAUUGGCGUAUAACCGAUGGCCAUAUCCUUCUUGUGGAUUUUCACUAUAAUGUAGCUGUUGUCAAAGUUGCAACUGAUUUACCACUCUUAGAAGAAGGCACUACCAACAAUGGAGUUGUAUUAGCACUUGGACGUGCAUAUGAAGGUGGUUAUAUCAUGUGUUCACGGGGUCAAGCUUUAAACAAAAAAAGCACUUUUGGGUGUUUGGAGCUAUUUGUGUCAAGCUGCGA